AACUUGUAGCGUAAUGGAUAGCGUGUUGGACUUCUGAUUCAAAGGUCGUGGGUUAAAGUCCCACCUGGGAUG